UACGGGGGGAGCAAGCGUUGUUCGGAUUUACUGGGCGUAAAGGGCGUGUAGGCGGCCACCGCAAGUCGACUGUGAAAUCUCCGGGCUUAACCCGGAAAGGUCAGCCGAUACUGCGGGGCUAGAGUGCAGAAGGGGCAACUGGAAUUCUCGGUGUAGCGGUGAAAUGCGUAGAUAUCGAGAGGAACACCUGCGGCGAAGGCGGGUUGCUGGGCUGACACUGACGCUGAUGCGCGAAAGCUAGGGGAGCGAACGGG
rnacentral:rRNA from 1 species